UUUACUUCUUUUAGGAGUCUAAAAGUAAGGAAAAAUAACUUCCGCUCAUUAUUUACAUAAGUUAAAUAAAACAUUUUGUGUCUAGUUAUCAGUAAUUUAUUUAUAAGUAAUUCUUUACUGUAAAAUAGUAAAAUAAUAAAUGAGUGAAUAAUGAAGAUAUAAUAAAUACUCUGUGUGUCCGUGAGUUUAAACCUGGUCACUGUUUCAUAUCUGAAGUUUAGUGUAAAUUGUUCUAAAGUCUCUGUGCUGAUGUAAAAUACAGACGAAUGCUGCUGUGUGUUUGUGUUAAACAAUGAACAUUUGUGUAAUCAGAUCCAUUUACUACUAUCACACAGGGAGCACUUUAUAUUACACAUCAGUAAGAAGUGUUUAACACAGAAUAAAGCUGAUCAAAGUCUGAGUCGCUCCACAAUAUAACCAGUAACUAGUAAAUCUUCUCCUGCUGAGUAGUUCUACUGAACUGCAGUCAUGUGAAUAAGCAGUAAUGAGUAAAUGUUGUGUAAGUGUGUGUAAAUGUGUGUUUAUUGUGUGUUUGUCUUCUCCAGCCGGUCCCACGGUGAAGCCCUCCGUGUCUCUGCUCCCUCCCUCCUCUCUGCAGCUGUCUGAGGGAUCCGCCUCACUGCUCUGCCUGCUGUCUGCCUACUCUCCACAGGGGGCGCUGGUGAGCUGGAGAGUGGACGGCUCAGAGGUGAAGGACCAGGUUCUGACCAGCGCAGAAGAACAGAAGAAGGACGGUUACACACGCAGCAGCACCCUGACCCUCAGCAAAGCAGUCUGGGAAAAGGGGGAGGAGUUUGUCUGUACAGUCUCCCAUGCUGGUGUCAAUCAUCCGGUCACGUUCAGAAAGAGCCAGUGUGAAGACUAACAGCUCCAAGAUAGAAUUUAACACUGAGCUGCUUACACAUCCAACUAAAAUAGAGUUUCAGUUCUACACAAUGCUGACAUUUCUGUCUUUACUCUCUUCACUGUCCUGUUGCUCUUCCUGUAGUUUUGCUCUGCUGAAAUAAAGCUUCAUUUUGGA